CUACAGACAACUCUCGACCAAAGACGGGUAAAUAACUCGGUCCACUCACUGGCUUUCAUCAAUGGUGGUAGCUGAAGCACUGCAAGACCAAGAUGCUGGCAAGGAUAAUGUUGCUGAUCUCCCUUGUAGCGACCGUUGGCUGCCUCAAGAUGAUGAAUGCGAAGAAGCUUCCAUUCCCUGGAGGGGUCGCGGUAGCCCAGCUACUCAAGGUCAAAAGAGAACGCUCCUGCUCCGUCAUCUUCGUAAUCGACGAUUCUACGCCGUUUUCUACUAUCGUGAACGAGAUACGGGAGACGUUGCAACAGCAGCAGCAGGGUACAACGUUGUUCCAAGUGAAGGCAGGCGACAAGAACAAUAAUAUGACGCACCGUCUAUCCCACUUGGUGCCUCUGGCUCGCCG